rfam:Thermoplasmatales archaeon I-plasma AMDT3_IPLC00001, whole genome shotgun sequence.
GGGCUGGUAGAUCAGCGGAAGAUCGCCUCCUUGGCAUGGAGGAGGCCCGGGGUUCAAAUCCCCGCCAGUCCA